rnacentral:lncRNA from 10 species
CGGAGGCGAGCCCCUUCCCGGGGGGUGGGGGCGGCAACGCGCGACCCAGCGGUCCUGCGCCCCACCCUCCCUCCUCCGCCUCCAGCGCUCGGCUCCAACAAAGGGGCAGGCCCGCAGCGGGGAGGAGGAGGAGGAGCCGCCGAAGGAGCGAGCCUCUCUCGCGCACAAAGUUGUGGAGUCGUUUUUCCUCGGAGCAGGGAAGCGGGCAGCAGCAGCCGGCCGCGGGCUUUCUCCCGCCGAGGGGCGAGGAGGAGCCUCUGGCUCCAGAAGCCGAUUGGGGAAUCACGGGGAGCGGCGCCCCCCUUCUUUUGGGUCAUUUCUGCAAACGGAAAACUCUGUAGCGUUUGGCAAAGUUGGUGCCUGCGCGCCCCUUCCAGGUUUGCGCUUUGACUGUUUUGUUUUUGGCGGAACUACCAGGCAGGAAGAUUGCACAAGUAAGGGGCGUUUUCAGUCGGGUGUCAAUUUCUCUUUCUUUCUUUCUUUUUUUAAAAUUUCGGUUCGUGUCUGCUUCUCCAAGCUUUAUUUUUUUUUUUAAAUACAUCGCACCACCAAACUAACACUCGCACACACCCCCGCGGUUACUCCGUGUCAAACUCCUAGAGGAGCCCUUGGCCAGCUCGGGGUGCGGCGGUGGCGACCGGCAGGCGAGGAGGCCCGCGGGCAGCAGGUGUGGAAGACGGAGGGUCACACUGGGAUGCAUUGUUCGUGGUGAAACUUUGAUUCUGUCUCCUGAGAACCAAAGAUUCUGCAUUUGGCAAUUAGAAGGAGUCAUCCUUUGCCUUAAGUGUACUCAAAUUCCUCUGGCCAUUAAUGGCAAGUAACCUCAGUGGCUAUCACUAUUUAAAUAGCCUUCUGUUAUUCUUCUUUCUCCCCAUUUUCCUCUGUA